rnacentral:rRNA from 1 species
AUUGAACGCUGGCGGCAGGCCUAACACAUGCCAGUCGAGCGGAUGAAGGGAGCUUGCUCCUGGAUUCAGCGGCGGACGGGUGAGUAAUGCCUAGGAAUCUGCCUGGUAGUGGGGGAUAACGUCCGGAAACGGGCGCUAAUACCGCAUACGUCCUGAGGGAGAAAGUGGGGGAUCUUCGGACCUCACGCUAUCAGAUGAGCCUAGGUCGGAUUAGCUAGUUGGUGGGGUAAAGGCCUACCAAGGCGACGAUCCGUAACUGGUCUGAGAGGAUGAUCAGUCACACUUGAACUGAGACACGGUCGAGACUCCUUCGGGGAGCACCAGGGGGGAAUAUUGGACAAUGGGCGGAAGCCUGGUCCAGCGAUGCCGCGUGUGUGAAAAAGGUCUUCGGAUUGUAAAGCACUUUAAGUUGGGAGGAAGGGCAGUAAGUUAAGACCUUGCUGUUUUGACGUUACCAACAGAAUAAGCACCGGCUAACUUCGUG